rnacentral:rRNA from 1 species
AGAGUUUGAUCAUGGCUCAGACAAACGCUGGCGGCGUGCCUAAUACAUGCAAGUCGAACGAGGAAGUCCCUUCGGGGAUUGUACUAGUGGCGUACGGGUGAGUAACGCGUGGAUAAUCUUCCUUAAAGUGGGGAAUAACUAGUCGAAAGAUUAGCUAAUACCGCAUAAGACCACAGGAUCUUCGGAUCAAGGGGUUAAAGCCUUACGGCGCUUUAAGAUGAGUCUGCGCCCGAUUAGCUAGUUGGUGAGGUAAUAGCUCACCAAGGCGACGAUCGGUAGCUGGUCUGAGAGGACGGCCAGCCACACUGGGACUGAGACACGGCCCAGACUCCUACGGGAGGCAGCAGUAGGGAAUAUUGCACAAUGGAGGAAACUCUGAUGCAGCGACGCCGCGUGAGUGACGAAGGCCUUCGGGUUGUAAAGCUCUGUUCUCAGGGAAAAAGAAAGUGAUUGUACCUGAGGAGAAAGGACCGGCUAACUUCGUG